AGGGAAACCGAGUCUUAACUGGGCGUUAAGUUGCAGGGUAUAGACCCGAAACCCGGUGAUCUAGCCAUGGGCAGGUUGAAGGUUGGGUAACACUAACUGGAGGACCGAACCGACUAAUGUUGAAAAAUUAGCGGAUGACUUGUGGCUGGGGGUGAAAGGCCAAUCAAACCGGGAGAUAGCUGGUUCUCCCCGAAAGCUAUUUAGGUAGCGCCUCGUGAACUCAUCUUCGGGGGUAGAGCACUGUUUCGGCUAGGGGGUCAUCCCGACUUACCAACCCGAUGCAAACUGCGAAUACCGAAGAAUGUUAUCACGGGAGACACACGGCGGGUGCUAACGUCCGUCGUGAAGAGGGAAACAACCCAGACCGCCAGCUAAGGUCCCAAAGUCACAGUUAAGUGGGAAACGAUGUGGGAAGGCUCAGACAGCCAGGAUGUUGGCUUAGAAGCAGCCAUCAUUUAAAGAAAGCGUAAUAGCUCACUGGUCGAGUCGGCCUGCGCGGAAGAUGUAACGGGGCUAAACUGUGCACCGAAGCUGCGGCAGCGACGCUUAUGCGUUGUUGGGUAGGGGAGCGUUCUGUAAGCCUGCGAAGGUGUCCUGUGAGGGAUGCUGGAGGUAUCAGAAGUGCGAAUGCUGACAUAAGUAACGAUAAUGCGGGUGAAAAGCCCGCUCGCCGGAAGACCAAGGGUUCCUGUCCAACGUUAAUCGGGGCAGGGGGAGUCGACCCCUAAGGCGAGGCCGAAAGGCGUAGUCGAUGGGAAACGGGUUAAUAUUCCCGUACUUGGUGUUACUGCGAAGGGGGGACGGAGAAGGCUAUGUUGGCCGGGCGACGGUUGUCCCGGUUUAAGCGUGUAGGCUGGUUUUCCAGGCAAAUCCGGAAAAUCAAG
rnacentral:rRNA from 1 species